rnacentral:rRNA from 1 species
UGGGGAAUCUUGCGCAUUGGGCGAAAGCCUGACGCAGCGACGCCGUGUGGGUGAUGAAGGCCUUCGGGUCGUAAAGCCCUGUCAGGAGGGACGAAAUCUCGGCGCUCUAAUACGUCGUCGACUUGACGGUACCUCCAAAGGAAGCACCGGCUAACUCCGUGCCAGCAGCCGCGGUAAUACGGAGGGUGCGAGCGUUGUUCGGAAUCACUGGGCGUAAAGCGCGUGUAGGCGGCCUUUUAAGUUUGAUGUGAAAGCCCGGGGCUCACCCCCGGAAGUGCAUUGGAUACUGGAAGGCUGGAGUACCGGAGAGGAGGGUGGAAUUCCUGGUGUAGCGGUGAAAUGCGUAGAUAUCAGGAGGAACACCUGUGGCGAAGGCGGCCCUCUGGACGGAUACUGACGCUGAGACGCGAAAGCGUGGGGAGCAA